AUUUGAUGAUGAGGGCAACUUGCACACAAUUUCUUGAAACGCUCCCAAUAUUCGUGUAGACAUUCUCUGUUGUUUUUCCUCACCCUACAAAUUUCUUUUCUAAUAUU
rnacentral:snoRNA from 1 species